AAGGGAGGAGAGCCUUCUAAAACGCAAAUUUAAUCACACGACUCCCCAGCUUAAAACUCUCAGCUGGCUAUUUCUUCCCCAGCCCCACCCGCAAGAUCUCCUCACACUGGAUUUGGAGUCUCAGCCCCAAAGCAGUUAAGAGACUGGCCCAGGUCUGUCAGCUACAUAGGAACCAUCACAAACUUGACUCACUCAGCGGUUGUGGGACAGGAGCAAUGUCAGUCCUUGAGGAAAACGGAAACAGAGGAAUGCAGAGAAAAACGGAAACAGAGGAAUGCAGAGAAAAGCGGAAACAGAGGAAUGCAAAGGGGAAGGAGGACAAAGAAAGAGAGGAAGAAUCACCUACUAUAUGCCCUUCCUGCAUGUACUGUGUUCAUCUAGUGAGUUAUGAAAAGGAAGGAAGAAGAUCUGAAGGGAGGUAGGACCCAGAGGAGGAUGAGGAGCACAUUCCAGAGGAUUCAAGAACUCUCACAGAGGACCUAAGAGAGUCACAGAUCCAAGACAAAGAAUCCCUCCCCUCCCACCUCAAGCAUUGUUUGUCUUUAGUGAAAUGGCCCUGUCCUAUCAAUCAUGUAUCCUUUUCUUUUCAGUUUCUUCCUGAGUUGGGAAGGAAGUUUUUUAUUUCUGUUUCGGUUUCCGUGGCACUAUCAAGAGAAAAUCAUGUGAA